rnacentral:rRNA from 1 species
CCUACGGGAGGCAGCAGUGGGGAAUAUUGGGCAAUGGGCGCAAGCCUGACCCAGCAACGCCGCGUGAAGGAAGAAGGCUUUCGGGUUGUAAACUUCUGUUCUCAGGGACGAAGAAAGUGACGAUCCCUGAGGACUAAGCCACGGCUCACUACGUGCGCGCAGCCGCGGUAAUACGGAGUGGGCAAGCGUUAUCCGGAUUUAUUGGGUGUAAAGGGCGUGUAGGCGGGAGCGCAAGUCAGAUGUGAAAACUCAGGGCUCAACCCUGAGCCUGCAUUUGAAACUGUGUUUCUUGAGUGCUGGAGAGGCAAGCGGAAUUCCGUGUGUAGCGGUGAAAUGCGUAGAUAUACGGAGGAACACCAGUGGCGAAGGCGGAUUGCUGGACAGUAACUGACGCUGAGGCGCGAAAGCGUGGGGAGCAAACAGGAUUAGAUACCCCUGUAGUC